rnacentral:rRNA from 1 species
CUCGGUGCUUCUAGCGAAGUGGAAACACCCGAUCCCUUUCCGAACUCGGCAGUUAAGCACUUCAGCGCCGAUGGUAGCCUCCGGGCAAGAGUAGGCCAGUGCCGAGA